CAUACUGUUCUUUUAUAUUUCUUCAUGUUCUUUCUUCACUAAUCCAUUUCUAACACACCCAUAUAAUUUUUCAGAUUUUUUUCAUAUUUCCAUUUUUAAUAUUCCACAUUAUAUGGGUAAUUUUUUAUAAUCUGGCUUUCUGCAUUUGACCUCAUACUAGUUACCAGCUUUUAUUUUUUUUAAAUAAACAGCUUUGUUGUAAGGUUCAUUAAAACAAAACAAAAUUUCUUUUUUUAAUUGAGUUAGGGUCUCUCUCUGUCCCCCAAGCUGGAGUGCAGUGGU
rnacentral:lncRNA from 10 species